UACAGAGACUGCAAGCGUUAUUCGGAUUCACUGGGCGUAAAGGGUGCGCAGGCGGUUGGGUGUGUCAGAUGUGAAAUCCCGAGGCUUAACCUCGGAACUGCGUCUGAAACUACUCGACUAGAGUACUGGAGAGGGAAACGGAAUUCACGGUGUAGCAGUGAAAUGCGUAGAUAUCGUGAGGAACACCAGAGGCGAAGGCGGUUUCCUGGACAGUUACUGAAGCUCAGGCACGAAAGCAUGGGGAGCAAAAGGG
rnacentral:rRNA from 1 species